UACGGAGGGUGCAAGCGUUAUCCGGAUUUACUGGGUUUAAAGGGUACGCAGGCGGAUAUGUAAGUCAGUGGUGAAAUCUCUGGGCUUAACCCGGAAAUUGCCAUUGAUACUAUAUAUCUUGAAUGCUGUGGAGGUAAGCGGAAUAUGUCAUGUAGCGGUGAAAUGCUUAGAGAUGACAUAGAACACCUAUUGCGAAGGCAGCUUACUACGCAGAGAUUGACGCUCAUGCACGAAAGCGUGGGGAUCAAACAGG
rnacentral:rRNA from 1 species